rnacentral:tRNA from 3 species
GGAGGCUUCGCCUAGUUCGGUCUAUGGCGCCGCACUGCUAAUGCGGUUUGGGUCUUAAAGCCCAUCCCGGGUUCGAAUCCCGGAGCCUCCGC